UUCAGAUGGCCCAAUGAUCCCACCUGCCCUAGCCCAUUCUUUACCAAGAUCCGGCCCGUUCUUCCUUUUCUUCCCAAUGACAACAAUACCAGCGUACAACUACGCCCAAAAGCUCGUACAACCAAUAAGAAACAACGCCUCAAUGUCGUCAACUCCGAUCCAACACCGACCCGGCGACCCAACGCCGGUAUCAACAGCAGCAACGCGAUAACAACAUCUAGGGAUGGCAAUGGGACGGUGCGGGUGUGAUGCGGGUUUUAAGUUAUGUGGUGCGGUGCGGGUGUGGUGCGGUUAAAGUAAUAUUUUUUUUAAAUGGUGCGGUGCAGUGUGGGUUGCGGGUAUAUGUAAGUUUAAAUUAACAAAAAAGCUAAAAAUUAGUAUUGUUGUCGUGAAUAUAUCUAAAAUUAUAUGUGUUCUUUGCUGAUACUUAAAACUACAUACAUAACAUAUAAAUAAAUAAUUUUAUAGUAACAUUUUUAGUAUCUCUAUCUAUUUGAAUAAAAAUAUAAUAUUUGAUUAUUAUUUGUACACGUUAUAUUUUUUGAUAAUUUUUUAGUGAAAAAUGAUAUAAUAGAAAUUAAUUAUUAUUUUUUAAUCGUAGAUUUGAAAAUAUUAUGAUUUUCAAUGGAGUUAUAAAAUUUUCAAAAAAAAAAGAAAAAAUAAAAACAUGGGGUGGUGCGUUGCGGUUAUUCGUGGGUAUGAAUGUGGGAAGGAUCUAUGCGGGUUUAAAUGUGAUGUGGUGCGGUGCGAUUUUAAAACUACUAAACCCGCACCGCACCAUUGCCAUCCCUAACAACAUCAGCACAACAGUUUCGAACCGAACCAGACUCGUUUCAGCAAAACCCAGCUCUGACCCGAACCAGCAUGCAGCGUCCAUCAACCCGAGAUUCUUCUAGAAGUAGUAUAGGUGUCCACCAACGUACAAAUUUCGUCUUACUCGAACAAACUUGUAUGAAUUCGUACAUAGGUGUGCGAUUUUUAUUGGUUCUUGAACAUAAUUCUCUUUCCCCCAAUUUUACUGAUCCAUCCGUUUCCAAAUUCCUUCGAAAAUUCCAAUAAUUAGGAGGAAAUUCUGUUAUCACGCAAGAAUUUCAAAAUAUGUCUAUUGAAAAAUCCAAAAUUACCCCCGUUUGCUUCUUUGUCCCACAUUGAUCGAACACUAAAUUGGAAGCCAAUACUUUCCCUAUAAAAGGGACACGACAGAGAAGAAUGGGGAAAGUUUUGGAGGUGGAAAAAAUCUACUUUCAAGCAACAAGUCAUUUUUAAGUAAAAAAUUUGUUCCCGAAAGCAGUCGACUAUUUUGAUGUUUUUAGAGUCGCUGCUAAUGGUCGGAGUCAAUGUGAAGCUCUUCCGGAGGUGGUCGAGAUUUCUGUGAAAAUUCGAGUCCCAUUUUGCUAACAUUCUGUUUCAUUUAGUUUCGAUUAGUUCUGCUUUGCUAUUCUGUAGGUAUGUUUCGAUAUUUGUUAAAAAUGAAAGUUUUUAAGGGAUUGAUAGGUCUGGAAUGUUAGUUAGAUUCCUGAUUGUGUUUUCUCUUACUGUUUUGAUGCGCUGUUAAUGAUUUAGUUUCUCGCUUUGUUUAAGCUUCGAAUGUUAUUCCAAGUAGUUACUCCCGGAUGAAUAUUCUGCAUUUAAUCAUAAUAUGUUGCGCCUGUCGUCCCUUCCCUUUUGUUUGAAUAUGUGUUGACGUCUCAGUUUGUUGCUUUGUUGAAAAAAGAUAGCAUAGGCGCAGAUAUGUAACUGCCCUCAAGCUGUUCGGUUUUUCUCUUGCAAAAUUUUCAGCUUCUCUUGUUUUGGGAACUCGCAUAUGGUAAGUACGUGUAUAGCGUGCUUAAAUUUGUAGUGCAAACUGGUUACUGCAAGUUGAAAGAUGAUUUUUUAUGUGUCAUGUAGGAUGUAUUGAAGUCUUUGUUUAAUAUAACACCUUUUUUUUGUUUACAAAUCAAAAUCUUAUUCGUAUCUAGUGACUUACUUCUCUAAUCUAUUCGUUAGAACUGUUAUCUAUUAGCCUGAAAUCCUUUUGCUAUGAUACUUCUUUGCUGAUGUUUGAAUAUGCCGCCAGGACUUCGCUUAUAAAUACCCUUUUUUCUCAGCUUUAUAUUUUAAAAGAGGUUGGACUUAAAAAUUUUAGUUGCGCCUAGCUUGUGGAUUCAUAUUCAGUUGAUUAGUUAAAAGAUGACAUGUUGAUGCAUCUAAAUUGAAUUUUUCUUGGUUGUUACCGUUUGAGGUAUGAAAGUAAUUAUUCUCAAAAUUUCUCAGUAACCUAUGUCUAUAUCUAUGCUUGCUGCGUGAAUGUCCUUACAAGUUUAGACAUUGAGUCAAAUUGUUUGAUGCUUUCAAGGUGUAAUUAUCACUUAUCCCCAUGCGCAUAACAAAUGGAAGGAAAAUAUUUCCUUUAGAACGUUAUGUUUUCUUUGAGAAGAGAUCACCUUAUUAGCUAUGUGUCAUGUGAAAUUUACUUAUUGGCUUUAUAAUUCUUGCUUCUCCCGAAUAUUAACCACUGCAUGUAAAUUAGAUAAAUUCAUGUUCUUGUAUUUUUCUUUUUUUAGUUUUUUUUUUUGUAAGGAAUUAGGACUCGAAUUCUGUGUGAGAAUAGUAAUCCCUCUAAUAUUGAAUUUUGCCUUUGGUAUUGCACUUGUGUUUGGGUUUAUCGUUCCUUUUCUAGCCUAUUCCUCAUAUUUUUCUUGGUUGAUAAACACCCUUAUGAUUGCUUUGCAAAAUCUCUUCAUAACAUGUUUGUUGGGUCCUUUCGUAGCAUUAAAACGGUAAACUUUUUGCUUUAUUUGCUUGGAGCCAUAAGGACACACCCUGUUUGGCGUUAUUCCUGCUUAUAAUUGAAAUGUCUUUGAUUAAUUAUGAAUGUCUUCCUCCAAAUUUUGUAGAUUUCUGUUCCUUCCACACUUUACCUGUGUGCAAGUAUAUUUAAAUGUAGUAGGAAUCCAAUAGCUUGUUAAUCACUAAAAUUUUGCAUAUAUAUUAAUUCCUUUGCUUUUCUUUUGCAUGUGGAUACGUUCGAGUCCUACAUGAACUCCUUUUCCUUUGCAUGUUUAUUGUGGGCCUGGCCUAAGUCUUUCAUUUUCUCCCCUUCCCCUUUUAUAUGUUUUGUUAUUAAUUUGUUUAGACUUAGUUAAAAUCCCUGCUAAGUCAUCCAAAUCUAUUUUACACAAGUUUUUUCCUAAAACCAAUCACUUUUCAACAACAAAUCUUUUUUGAAGUUAGUCAAAAGAUAUUUUUAAACAGUUCGGAUAACCACAAGUUAGCGGACGUUUUAGGUACCUUAAAUAUCUUUUUAAAAUGUUAAUAGGAACCGCUUACCUAGAAUCUCUAAACUUAAAUGAUUUUUCUGUUUGAAUCAUUUAAAGGUUUUCUUAAUCUUUUUCAAACAAAUUAAGUGGUGACUCUUAAGUCAAAAUUUUUGCAAAACAGUCGGCACACCUUUUCCUAAAUCUUUUACUCACUCAUGCCUAGUUAUGAUCCCUAAAGUUUAUUCCCCUCAAUAUUUUUACUGAUCUUAGACCCAUCAGCCUUAGUAAUUUUUCUAAUUAUCUCUAAAUUGCUAAAUCAUUGACUAUCCCCCAUUAUGCAUAAGUUUAUUUUUUCUUAUCAAACGGGUUUCAUUAAGGGUUGUUCUAUCUUUGACAACAUCCUGUUAACCCAAGACUACAACAACAACAACAACAAACCCAGUGUAUUCCCACCUAGUGGGGUCUGGGGGGUAAGAUGUACGCAGUCCAUACCUCUACCUCUGAUGAAGUAGAAAGGCUGUUUCCGAUAGACCCCCGGUUCAAGACACGAGAUACCACACAAACACAUAGUAAAGCACAGAAGCAGAUUACAUAACAUAAAUACGGCACCCAUAAGUAAUAUAAAACAGAGGAAAGCAAAGGAAAGCACACAGAUUCGUAAUAAAACAUGGAACACGGAAGACGGAAUCAUAACAGGAAUAAAACCCCCACCAAGUAAUUUCCUACACUAGCGACCCAAACUGGCCCUAAUCCUCUGCCGAAAUUCGCGCCCUCCAGACCUUCCUAUCUAGGGUCAUGUCCUCGGUGAGCUGUAACUGUUCCAUGUCCCGCCUAAUCACCUCGCCCAAGACUAGUGCAUAAUAUUAAUCAGUCUCCUAAUAUAGGCAAUGUGGUUAUGAAAUUUGAUAUGACCAAAGCCUUCGAUAGAGUAGAUUGAAAUUUUUUAUGUCUUCUGUUGAACAAGAUGAGUUUCUCUGACCUCUAGAUUGAUAGAAUAUGAAGACUUAUCUCUAAUAAUUUGUAUUCUAUUUAUCUUAAUGGAGGUAGACAUGUUUUUUUUUUUUAAAUCCACUAGGAUUUAAAACAAGGCGACCCUUUAUCCCCCUUUUUUUUUAUUAUUUGUGCUAAACUUUUAUCUAGAUCAUUGACUAAUCUCCCUAGUGAAGGUUUUGUUCCUUACUCUGCUGAUGAAAAGGGAACUUUGAUAACUCAUUUGUGUUAUAUUGAUGAUACUAUUUUCUUCUCAUCUGGGGAUCUUCCAUCUAUUAAUAUGAUGAACAAGCUUAAUACUUAUGAAAAAGUCUCUGGUCAAUUAGUUAAUAAAAGCAAAUCUGACUUUAUUUUAUCUGCUAUUUUUUCUAUUAAUUAUAUCUCUGAUGUGGAGAAUGUUAUUGACUUCUUCCAACUGCAUUUCCCUUUCCAAUAUUUGGGUUGCCCCAUAUAUAAAGGAAAGACGAAAAUUGUCUAAUUCAACAACAUGGUUGCAAAAGUUUCAACAAGCUAUGAGGAUGGCAAGGUAUCUUUCAUCUUAUGGGGGCAAAGUCACCCUUAUUAAAUCUAUUUUAUAUUCCCUUCCCUUUCAUUUGCUCUCUGUUUUAUACCCUCCAAAAGGUGUUCUACAUCAAAUUGAAAUGAUCAUUGCUAACUUUUUUUUGGGGCCUUGAGCAUAAUAAGAACAAACAUCAUUGGAAGGUUUGGAAUGAUCUAUGUUGUCCUACUGUUGAAUGUGGUAUUGCCUUGAGAUCUCUAAAAGAUUUCUGUAACAUUUUCUCUGCUAAGAUUUGGUGGAACUUUAGGACUAAACAAAGUUUGCUCAAAGACUUUCUACAGGCUAAAUACGCUAAAUACUGCAAGAGAAAACACUCUGUUAUGAGGAAAUGGUCUUAUGGAUAAUCUCAAAAUUGGAAGAGACUGAUGAAUGUCAAAUUACAAGUUGAACAAUUUAUUUUGUGGAAAACCGGCAAAGGUGAUCAAGACAAUGAAUAUGCUCAUUAGCUGCUUGUUCCCUGUUUUUACUACUACUCUCGAAUUGUUGGAACUUAGUAAUAUUGUUGAAGGAGCGCAACAGGUAAUCAACAGUGAGAUGAUUUUAUGGUGAAAACCAAAUAGGGGAUGGCACAAAUUCAACACCGAUGGAUGUAGCAAGGACAAUUCAGGUAGUGCAGGUGGAGGGGGAAUCAUCAAACACAGUGAUGGAAGCUUCAUGAUAGCUUUUGCUGAAAAUUAUGGUGUGUGUAGCAAUAAUAUAGCUGAAGCUAAAGCUAUUCUUCAAGUCCUGAAGAUCUGUAAUACAAAAGGUCUUAUUGAUGUGAUUGUAGAAGCUGACUCACAAUUGAUUAUCAACACGAUUAAUUAGAAAAUGAGGAUUCCUUGGAAGAUUUGUUAUGUUAUUGAUCAGAUCA